GGUUGGUUAGUGUAAGGGUUAGCACGAGAGAUUCUGAUCUUUCAUUCUCUAGAUCUGGGUUCGAAUCCCAGACCGACCU